rnacentral:rRNA from 1 species
AUUGAACGCUGGCGGCAGGCCUAACACAUGCAAGUCGAGCGGAUGAAGGGAGCUUGCUCCUGGAUUCAGCGGCGGACGGGUGAGUAAUGCCUAGGAAUCUGCCUGGUAGUGGGGGAUAACGUCCGGAAACGGGCGCUAAUACCGCAUACGUCCUGAGGGAGAAAGUGGGGGAUCUUCGGACCUCACGCUAUCAGAUGAGCCUAGGUCGGAUUAGCUAGUUGGUGGGGUAAAGGCCUACCAAGGCGACGAUCCGUAACUGGUCUGAGAGGAUGAUCAGUCACACUGGAACUGAGACACGGUCCAGACUCCUACGGGAGGCAGCAGUGGGGAAUAUUGGACAAUGGGCGAAAGCCUGAUCCAGCCAUGCCGCGUGUGUGAAGAAGGUCUUCGGAUUGUAAAGCACUUUAAGUUGGGAGGAAGGGCAGUAAGUUUAUACCUUGCUGUUUUGACGCUACCAACAGAAUAAGCACCGGCUAACUUCGUG